UACAGAGGGUGCGAGCGUUAAUCGGAAUUACUGGGCGUAAAGCGCACGUAGGCGGCUUGGUAUGUCGGGUGUGAAAUCCCCGGGCUCAACCUGGGAACUGCAUCCGAAACUGCCUUGCUAGAGUAUGGGAGAGGGAAGUGGAAUUUCCGGUGUAGCAGUGAAAUGCGUAGAGAUCGGAAGGAACACCAGUGGCGAAGGCGACUUCCUGGACCAAUACUGACGAUCAGGUGCGAAAGAGUGGGGAGCAAACAGG
rnacentral:rRNA from 1 species